CUAUGUCUGCAUCAUGGCUCCACAUGGAAAAGAACUGAACAGAGGAAGAGAAACAUCUGACUGAGAGACUCGACAAAGAUGGAAAAAGAUCCAGGAAGAUCAGUGAGAAACUAAAAACCAGUGAUGCACAGAGUCAGAUGGAAUCAGGAGGUCUAGAAGGAGUCAUAGUACCACUGAUCAGGAGGUCUAGAAGGAGUCAUAGUACCACUGAUCAGGAGGUCUAGAAGGAGUCAUAGUACCACUAAUCAGGAGGUCUAGAAGGAGUCAUAGUACCACUGAUCAGGAGGUCUAGAAGGAGUCAUAGUACCACUGAUCAGGAGGUCUAGAAGGAGUCAUAGUACCACUAAUCAGGAGGUCUAGAAGGAGUCAUAGUACCACUAAUCAGAGCUCCUAAAAUGACUCCACAGACAGUGAACUACUUUCUCCAUCCAGCUGUAAAAACAGACGGCAGCUGUUUCAGACUUGGUUCAGGGGUUCUCCAUGGAAACCAGAGUUAAUGUGAAGCUCAGAAGGAACCUUCAGAACAUCAACCUCUAUGGACGGAGGACCAGAACUAAGCCUGGCUGCUGAAGAACCCGAGAAGAAGCCUGAUGGAUGUUGGAGAACAUUCUUUGGUCAGAUGAAGAUCAAUGAGUUGGGCUCAGAUGGAGUCCAGAUGUUUGGUGAGAACCUGAGCAGGACUACCAUAGUGGAUACAGAGUCCUGACAAUGAAGCACGGAGUUCACUAACCCUCGUGUCGUCCUGUGAGUCAAACUGACUCAUUUUACAAUUUGAAAAUGUGAAAAAAAAAAAAUUCACACUGGAACUUCUGAGGUCCACAUUUUCAAAAUUUUGGGGAAAUUUUUGAACAUUUUUUGGUGG
ensembl:lncRNA